rnacentral:lncRNA from 1 species
UUGAAAUCUGAUAACUUUCACCGGAGCUCCCUGAAUGUCCGUUUGAGCUCAAACUUGACAGUCAUGUUCGGUUUUACGUACUGAGCAAGAAUAUAUUUUAAGUUUUCAGUUUCGACCCCAUUUGGUCACCGAAAACUGUGCCGAACUAUAAUCUUUAUCAGAUAGCUGUCGGAUUUUAUUUCUCACUCUACGAGUGUCAGAAAAAUAUGAAACUUUAAAUCUAAUCUCAUAAAAAUAUUUCUGACUUAUCCUCCAAUUUUCAUAAUUUUCUGAGACCGUGCAUUUUCUGCUAAUUUAUCUGUUCCGUUUUCAACAUAAAGUCUAAAUCUUCUGUUUUCAUUCCGAUUUCAGCACAAGUCACUUCUGACUUAUGUUUUACUUCUACAAAUCCAAUAAAAAUAGUUUCUCACACUAUUUUUAUUUAUUUUUAUUUUUAUACCAAAAUCUGGUAUGUUAUAUUCUCCACCCCUUAAAAAGAAUUUCGUCCGCGAAAUUCAAACCACGCCUCAAUUU